UACGGAGGGUGCGAGCGUUGUCCGGAAUCACUGGGCGUAAAGGGCGCGUAGGCGGCCUUCUAAGUCGGACGUGAAAUCCCUCGGCUUAACCGAGGAACUGCGUCCGAUACUGAAAGGCUUGAAUCCGGGAGAGGGAUGUGGAAUUCCAGGUGUAGCGGUGAAAUGCGUAGAUAUCUGGAGGAACACCGGUGGCGAAGGCGGCAUCCUGGACCGGUAUUGACGCUGAGGCGCGAAAGCUAGGGGAGCAAACGGG
rnacentral:rRNA from 1 species